rnacentral:rRNA from 1 species
UAGAGGUCCGCCUGCCUGUGACUAUAUGUUUAACGGCCGCGGUAUUUUGACCGUGCGAAGGUAGCGCAAUCACUUGUCUUUUAAAUGGAGACCUGUAUGAAUGGCAUAACGAGGGCUUAACUGUCUCCUUUUUCAGGUCAAUGAAAUUGAUCUCCCCGUGCAGAAGCGGGGAUGUCUACAUAAGACGAGAAGACCCUAUGGAGCUUUAGACACCAAGGCAGAUUACGUUAAAGACCCUAAACAAAGGACCAAACAAAGCAAUCCUGCCCUAAUGUCUUUGGUUGGGGCGACCGCGGGGAAACACAUAACCCCCAUGUGGAAUGGGAACACCCUUCCUACAACCAAGAGCUCCCGCUCUAAGUACCAGAAAUUCUGACCAAUCAGAUCCGGCUUUCGACCGAUCAACGGACCGAGUUACCCUAGGGAUAACAGCGCAAUCCCCUUCUAGAGCCCAUAUCGACAAGGGGGUUUACGACCUCGAUGUUGGAUCAGGACAUCCUAAUGGUGCAGCCGCUAUUAAGGGUUCGUUUGUUCAACGAUUAAAGUCCUACGUGAUCUG